UUCUGAUUGCUUUAUAAUCAGUAAGACCUGCUCAAUGAACUUUUAAUAGCCGCGAUUUACGUGCUAAGGUAGCAUAAUCAAUUGCCUUUUAAUUGAAGGCUGGAAUGAAAGGUUCUACAUAUAAAAUACUUUAUUAAAAUUAUUUCUUAAAACUAAUCUAUAAAUAAAAAAGUUUAUAUAUAUAAGAAGGACGACAAGACCCUGUCGAGCUUUACUUUAGUUUCACUGGGGAGGUGAAGAAACUAAAUCUUCCUUUUUCCUAAAAAAAGAAAAUUUAGAAAGAAUUAUGAACUAGCUACCGCAGGGAUAACAGCACAAUUUAUUUUAGGAGACCUUAUCUUAAAAUAAGAUUAUGACCUCGAUGUUGAAUUAAAUUACCUUUAGGCGAAGAAGCUUAAAAGGAAAGUCUGUUCGACUUUUAAAAUUUU
rnacentral:rRNA from 1 species